AUGGAUAUUCGUCGAGAGGUUGCUGCCAGUGAGAGCCAUUGGAUACAAAAGGAAAAGGAAAGUACAAAGAAACAAAAGGUGAACAGGAGGAUGAAUGCCACCGAUGAGCAAGGCGACAUUAAUGAAAUGGCUGAUGCCUUCAUCAAGAAGUUCAGAAACCAGCUAAAGAUUCAAAGGGAAGAGUCAUUCAAACGGUUUCAGGAAAUGAUUGCUCGUGGGGUUUGA
rnacentral:lncRNA from 1 species